GAGAGGUGGCUGAGUGGUCGAAGGCGCUCGCUUGGAAAGCGAGUAAGGGUUCACGCCCUUCAUGGGUUCGAAUCCCAUCCUCUCC
rnacentral:tRNA from 1 species